CAGUCGUACCUGCGGACAAUCAGCUUUUUGAGUGUGAUUAUGUGGAUUGUGAGGAGUUUAAUCACCCUCAUGUUUUACGUAUUCGUGCACUUUGGGUGUACUUGCCCGUGUGGUAGGUUAACAUCAAUUUUGGUCGUCAUAAAAUGAUCGGAGGAAUGUGGCUUCGAUCUCGUAUCGGAGUGUUAUAGCCUUUGGUAGAUGUGACGAUUGGGAUCGAAGAUUGCAACGGAUACCCUUCGGGGGCUACUCGUCUGAUCUCUG
rnacentral:rRNA from 1 species